AGCGGGAUAGAGCAGUCCGGUAGCUCGUCAGGCCCAUACCCUGAAGGUCGAUGGUUCGAAUCCAUCUCCCGCUAC
rnacentral:tRNA from 1 species